GGGGUAGCGGUGAAAUGCGUUGAUCCCUGGGGGACCACCUGUGGCGAAGGCGCCCGGCUGGAACGGGUCCGACGGUGAGGGACGAAGGCCGGGGGAGCAAACCGGAUUAGAUACCCGGGUAGUCCCGGCUGUAAACUCUGCGGACUAGGUGUCGCGUCGGCUUCGGGCCGGCGCGGUGCCGAAGGGAAGCCGUUAAGUCCGCCGCCUGGGGAGUACGGUCGCAAGACUGAAACUUAAAGGAAUUGGCGGGGGAGCACUACAACGGGUGGAGCCUGCGGUUUAAUUGGAUUCAACGCCGGGCAUCUUACCAGGGGCGACGGCAGGAUGAAGGCCAGGUUGACGACCUUGCCAGACGCGCCGAGAGGUGGUGCAUGGCCGUCGUCAGCUCGUACCGUGAGGCGUCCUGUUAAGUCAGGUAACGAGCGAGACCCGUGCCCCAUGUUGCCAUCCCCUCCUCCGGGAGGGGGGCACUCAUGGGGGACCGCCGGCGAAAAGCCGGAGGAAGGUGCGGGCAACGACAGGUCCGCAUGCCCCGAAUCCCCUGGGCUACACGCGGGCUACAAUGGCCGGGACAAUGGGAUGCGACCCCGAAAGGGGGAGCAAAUCCCCUAAACCCGGUCGUAGUCCGGAUCGAGGGCUGUAACUCGCCCUCGUGAAGCCGGAAUCCGUAGUAAUCGCG
rnacentral:rRNA from 1 species